rnacentral:tRNA from 1 species
GCAGAUGUGGUGUAAGUGGUAACACAAGGGCGUGGUAAGUCCUUGAUGUGGGUUCAAUCCCCGCCGUCUGCC